AGCUUUGUGCAAUGGCAGUAUCAUAGCCAAUGAGGUUAAUCUUAGGUACAAUUACUGAUCGUUGAAAAAAAAAAAGUGACUGCCCAGUGUUUCAAUGGAAGAAAUAGACAUGUAAUCAAAACAGCUGCACACCCUGCA
rnacentral:snRNA from 1 species